GGAGAGAUGGGAGAGUGGUCUAAUGCGGCGGUCUCGAAAACCGUUGUCCCGCGAUCGUGGGACCGGGGGUUCGAAUCCCCCUCUCUCCG
rnacentral:tRNA from 1 species